rnacentral:rRNA from 1 species
CUACGGGUCGCUGCAGUCGAGAAUCUUCGGCAAUGGACGCAAGUCUGACCGAGCGACGCCGCGUGCGGGAUGAAGGCCUUCGGGUUGUAAACCGCUGUCAGAGGGGAGGAAAUCCACGGUGGCACUCCACCGUGGUUGACCUAGCCUCAGAGGAAGUACGGGCUAAGUUCGUGCCAGCAGCCGCGGUAACACGAACCGUACGAACGUUAUUCGGAAUCACUGGGCUUAAAGAGUACGUAGGCGGCUACGCAAGUUGGGUGUGAAAUCCCUCGGCUCAACCGAGGAAUUGCGCUCAAAACUGCGUGGCUUGAGGAAGACAGGGGUGAGUGGAACUAAUGGUGGAGCGGUGAAAUGCGUUGAUAUCAUUAGGAACACCAGUGGCGAAGGCGACUCACUGGGUCUUUUCUGACGCUGAGGUACGAAAGCUAGGGGAGCGAACGGGAUUAGAUACCCCAGUAGUC